ensembl:snRNA U6 U6 spliceosomal RNA
GGGCUUGUCUCAGCAUCACAGACAUUAAAAUUGAAAUGACACAGAGAGGAUUAGCAUGGCCCCCAUGCAGAAUGACGCACAUUUGCGACGUGUUCCAUAUUUUG